rnacentral:misc_RNA from 1 species
GAAAUGCGAUACGUAGUGUGAAUUGCAGAAUUCAGUGAAUCAUCGAAUCUUUGAACGCACAUUGCGCUCCCUGGCAUUCCGGGGAGCAUGCCCGUUUCAGAAUCAUCAGAACCUCACCACCCUGCGGGGGCUUUCAAUGGCCCCGGUCGGCUGGUGGAGCCGGGGGCGAUGGUGCAACCCACAACCGCAUCAUGCACCUCAGAUAUCAACCUUUGCCUGGCCAAAUCACUUUCUGCCUUUGGGACUCUGGCAUGGUGCGACAGAUUAACCUCCGCCACCUGCCUUCCCGCUGGCACGCUUUUGGUCCUGGCAAAAGCAAACCCACAAACGACUGCCGGUGGGGCAGAUCCGUCUGCCGGAGCCUCCAGUCACAAAACCUGGUCUGAAAUCGGGCAAGAGA